UCUCUGUAGCUCAGUGGUAGAGCGUCCGACCGGUAUGCAUGCGUGUAGGUUCGACUUCUGUUGGGAGAA